rnacentral:rRNA from 1 species
AGCGAACGCUGGCGGCAUGCCUAGCACAUGCAAGUCGAACGAGACCUUCGGGUCUAGUGGCGCACGGGUGCGUAACGCGUGGGAACCUGCCCUUAGGUUCGGAAUAACUCCCCGAAAGGGGUGCUAAUACCGGAUAAUGUCUUCGGACCAAAGAUUUAUCGCCUUUGGAUGGGCCCGCGUUGGAUUAGCUAGUUGGUAGGGUAAAAGCCUACCAAGGCGACGAUCCAUAGCUGGUCUGAGAGGAUGAUCAGCCACACUGGGACUGAGACACGGCCCAGACUCCUACGGGAGGCAGCAGUGGGGAAUAUUGGACAAUGGGCGAAAGCCUGAUCCAGCAAUGCCGCGUGAGUGAUGAAGGCCUUAGGGUUGUAAAGCUCUUUUACCCGGGAUGUUAAUGACAGUACCGGGAGAAUAAGCUCCGGCUAACUCCGUG